rnacentral:rRNA from 1 species
GUUGGGGAUAGCCGCUAGAAAUAGCGGGUAAUACCGGAUACGGUCAUGGGACUAUGGUUCGGUGAAGAAAGGAGCCUUGGCUCCGCCUGGGGAUGGGCCCGCGUUCCAUUAGGUAGUUGGUGAGGUAAAGGCCCACCAAGCCCGAGAUGGGUAGCCGGCCCGAGAGGGUGAACGGCCACACUGGGACUGAGAUACGGCCCAGACUCCUACGGGAGGCGGCAGCUAAGAAUAUUCCGCAAUGGGCGAAAGCCUGACGGAGCGACGCCGCGUGGAUGAGGAAGGCCGAAAGGUUGUAAAAUCCUUUUGCCGGGGAAGAAUAAGGCGGGGAGGGAAUGCCCUGUUGAUGACGUGAACCGGCGAAUAAGCCCCGGCUAAUUACGUGCCAGCAGCCGCGGUAACACGUAAGGGGCGAGCGUUGUUCGGAAUUAUUGGGCGUAAAGGGCGCGUAGGCGGCUGUGCAAGUCUGGCGUGAAAGGCGGGGGCUCAACCCCCGGACGGCGCUGGAAACUGCGGAGCUUGAGUCAUGGAGGGGGAGUUGGAAUUCCUGGUGUAGGGGUGAAAUCUGUAGAUACCAGGAAGAACACCGGUGGCGAAGGCGAACUUCUAGCCGAUGACUGACGCUGAGGCGCGAAAGUGCGGGGAGCAAA